UACGUAGGGGGCAAGCGUUGUCCGGAUUUAUUGGGCGUAAAGAGCGUGUAGGCGGCUAGAUAGGUCCGUUGUGAAAACUCGAGGCUCAACCUCGAGACGUCGAUGGAAACCAUCUGGCUGGAGUGCGGCAGAGGGGGAUGGAAUUCCGCGUGUAGCAGUGAAAUGCGUAGAUAUGCGGAGGAACACCGAUGGCGAAGGCAAUCCCCUGGGCCUGCACUGACGCUCAUGCACGAAAGCGUGGGGAGCAAACAGG
rnacentral:rRNA from 1 species